AAUCAAGCACAUGGCACCUGUUACUUCCUGGAUUGUGUUGUGUUUUUCCGUUUUCAAAAAAGACUUCAGAGAAACCAAUUCCAGCAGAAUCCCAAGAACAUUUAAAUGGAUUAAACAGGCAGCCACUACAUUCAUCCGAACUCUCUUCACCUUGACCUUGCGCUCUCCCAGAGCGGGUGAACCCAGUGGGCUGUUGUCAGAGCCUGAGGGGGUCUUGGUUGGCGAUGCACAUUGACUGCUUGGGCAUCCAGUAUCAUCUGAGAAGAGAGGCCAUAUGAACAAGGCCAACAACACAUAAAAGCCAUCAGAGAAGUCAUGAUAACCUCGUGUCCUACCUGAGGACAGGCUGUUGGGACUGAUGGUUCUUUUCGAGUGCUGGGAGCUAAUGUCAAAAUCCUUG